AUUCAUUAUUGUAAACAAAUGAAUAAAUUUAUGUUUUACUUAUUGAUAAAUAAAUAAAAUUAAAAUGGCGCGGAAUUUAGAUAUUGAACGCAUGCGUGUUUUCAUGCUCGAGUCACCUUCAUUUCAUUCUGCGGGCAUUAACCCACACACUUUUCUAAGAAAUCAUCCUCACUAUUUCAAAUUGAUCAGAGUUGAUUCUAUUAUUUAACAUCGGACAUUUUUAUUCAUGAAGAAUUAAAAUUUAUUUCUCUAUCAUUCAAAAUAAUUUAAUUAUUAUUUCAUUAAUCUUUUUAAUCGACAAUUCUGCUUAUUUUAUGUACCAUGUAUGUAUUUACAUAUUCCGAAGGCCGAGUAUUGAUAAUAAUGGAUGGCAAAGACUCGUUGAUGUGCUGGAGUAAGCUUGAGCCACAGCGCAAGUCUGAUGAAGACCAGAAGCGAGACAGAAUUAAUUUUGGAGUGUUAGAGAGUAAGAUAGAGCCUAGGUAUAGGCGUAUCAACUGCUUCCUAAUGUCGGCAGUCCAACGGUAUCGUCUCCUUGAAGUGGAGGUGUUUUUAACCUAAAAAUUAUAUUAACUACAAGUAUAAUAACUAUCGAAAGCGAGGGAAAAUAAAUUUAUACCAAAUGUUUUCUAAUGAUUUUUUUUUAUUGUAAUAAUUAUUGAUCAAUAUCUGAAAUUUAUAUUAUUUCAACUAUAACUGCAAUUUUUAAUUUAAAAAAAAAUGACAAUAAUCAAACGAAACACAGAAAUAAAUAAAAGUAUGAACGAGGCCGGUGUUAGUUUAUUUAUAGAUCCUUUGAGUUGUGUCAAAAAGAAUUUUUGUUACGGAAGAGAAAAGUUAUCAAUGAAGCUCGAAAUUCUUGAAUGAGUUCUAUAUUUUCUAUGUUUAAUAAAAAUUAUUUUCAAUAUGACACUAAAAAUAUUAUGAACUUAGUGAUAAUAUAUUAUAUGACUGAAAGUUUUUACAAUAUUGAGUUUCUUUUAGUGAAGAUAGUCAUUUUCUUUUCGUGUCUAUAAUUAAAAGUUUAUAUAAAAAGUGAAUAAAGUGUUUAAUGAUCCUGACAAUCUCAUUUGGCAUCAGAAUUUAUAAGAUUUCCUUAUUUUUUCUAAAAAUCAAAAAGGACUUUUCAGCCUAGAAAAGUGGCUUCCUUUAUAUUAGUGAGGCCUUGGUAUGGUAAAUUUAAAGCUUCUUCAAAAUAAAGUGACGACAAUCACUAAUAAAAAUGCAACAGGAGAAUCCAGUUGAAAAGGUCGUUGUAUUUAUCAGGUACUUUGGCGUGGAUAAAAACAAUUGCACUUAAAAUUAAAACAAAGCAUUUACUUUAGUAUAAAAAAGAGACAUUAGACAUUAUUAUUUAGUAGCCGCGAGUUUUGCGAGUAAAGCUUACUGUUUAUCUUUUCAUGUACUAGAAAAAAAAAACAAAGUGAAAAGUUCAAUGUAAAGUAUAAAUCAGACAAGUGAAAAAAGCUUGGCAAGCGCUAAAUAGAGCACGACGUGCUUUUAUUUAUAUUGUUUCAAUUUAUAUUGAGGGUAAGCUAGUGUAAUGUGAGCUUUUAAAAAUGAAUUAACUGACUCUGGGAACUAGUGAGUGUGCAAUAGUCUCAUGAAUGGAAUAACUAGAUACUUUUGAUGUUUACAAGAAUGCUAUGUUGCCAAGAAUCAUCAUCACUAACAUGCUAGCACGAAUACCAAAAGACUUUCAUGUAUCAUAGUGCAACUAGCAAUUACGUGACCUCCACGCCUGCUUUACGUUGUCAUUAUUAUGUUCACUAUUUUUAAUUACUCAUCUCAUUCUGGUAUUUUUAUUCCAUUUAGUAUGUUUCUGCACUUAUUACAGUAGCUGAAGUUGACGUUGAUAAAAAUAUCCAAACGUUUGUGAAAAAAAAAUUAUCUUAUCCGAAUUGAUAAAGGAAUUUGUACUAUUCUAAAGGGUGAUAAGUGAACAAGUCAAUAUUUACAUUGAGUGUAAGACACUUGAGUUAUGUAUUAACGGUAAGAUUAAGGAGCACGUGUUAUAAGUUUGGAUUUAUAGUUUAUCUGAAUGUAACGUUAUGUGCCAAAUUUAAAGUUUAAAUGAUUAGCCACUUUUGAUAAUCUAUUUUGAUAAUAAUUCUAUCAUAUUAUUUCAUUUAUAAGUGCAUUCUCUUUAUAUCACUUUUGCUGCUCUAAAAAACUACUGAUGUGGAUAGAAUACCAGUAGCUUGACUCCAGUGAGUCAAUGAAGCUUUGAGAAAAUAUAUAGAUAAAUAACCAAUCAGUCUUUGCUCGUUCCCUUGGAAUUUAAUCCGAUUAUUUUACAUCAGCGUUUGUCAAUAUUUUUCCAUUCAACGAUGGCUUUUUUUAUGCCUUACCAAACUUGUGUUCAUGUGUACAAAGUUGUUUAACUUAAAAGUAAAUAUAUAACAGACAUUAAGAAAUGGAAUCACGUCCAAAAAUCGAAAUAGUUCGGGUGUCAUCAAUAGAGCGAGCUAAUUUUCGUCCUCUUGACGGUGUUCAAUUGAGAGCGGCUUAUAGUCACUUAAGGAUCGGUACGUUUUGUCCAGAACCUGAAAUUGAGAUCACUCCUUGUGAGAAUAAAUCAAUAAAUCAACCAAAAAAGUUUAAAAAAACUUUGGGACCAGUUUCAAGACUGUUGAGGCGACGUCAAGGUACUUGCCUUACCACGAAAUCCUGUGAUAAUAUUUAUAGUGUGAAUAAAAGUAGUUCAGGCUUAGACUGGAAAAUAGGACAACGCUCAACUGAGUCAGCUUUGCAAUCUCGCCAAAGUAAUAGUUUAGAUUGGCGAAUGGGUCGAAAAGUUAACACUGAUUGGCAAAAUACUAGCAGAAGUGCGGAACAUUUACUUUCACGAAGUCCGAGAAUUAGUGGAUUAAGAAUCCCUACGACAAAAUCAAAAAUAGUUUCAUUAUUUAGGAGACUGUCUCCAAGACUAUCAAGACCAGGAAGUAAACAUUCCUUACCAUCAUCACCGAUAGUUUGUCCAUGGAUUCACGUUGAGUAUUCAAGUGAGUCUGUUACUGAUGCACGACGUGAGGAGUCUCAAGAGAGUGACGUUAGUUACCAGCAGGAGCUACAGUUGAAUGAGCUCAGAAAAAAAAUGUUUGGAGCCUCACCUUCAUCCUCAGCCUCUCAGGUGCGUCCUACAUGAUCAUCAAUGCUUUUUCGUCUGUCUAUCAAUCUUUUCUUUGAUCUUCAUUUUUGAUCAACUGGAACUAAUGUCUUCUCUAUGUCACGGGCGAGACUGAUGCUGAUCAACGAAGCUGUGAUAAAUAAUAAAAGUGAUGAAAACCGAAAUAUGACAGAAAAGAGUGAAUCGGGCAACGUUAUAAAUCUUUAUAAUCGAGAGUAAGCUUUACUAUUUUUUCAAAUGCAAUCACAGGCCUACU
rnacentral:misc_RNA from 1 species